GUCACCCGGAGAUCUUGUUAAAAUGCAAAUUCUGAUUUGGUAUGCCUGGGACAGGUCCGAGAUUUUGCAUUUUUAACAAGUACCUAGGUGUUCCUGA
rnacentral:pre_miRNA from 1 species